rnacentral:lncRNA from 1 species
AAUUUCUGUUUUUAUUUCUUUUAUUUCAUUUAAUUUCAAAAAUUCAUAACUUCUUUAUUUUUAAUCCAAAAAUAUGGGACCAAUUGCAUUCUUCUCCAUUUAAAUUUUAGUUUCUAAAAAUGAUUUUUAAUAUUUUUUAUUUUGUCAUAGGAUAUUUUUUGUGAAUUUUCUCUUUUCUGGUCAUUUUUAAUUCAUUUUAAAUAGUUUUCAAUAUUCAAAAAAUGCAAAAAUAUU